rnacentral:rRNA from 1 species
CCCUUAGAUGUCCUGGGCCGCACGCGCGCUACACUGAUGCAUGCAACGAGUAUAUAACCUUGGCCUGAAAGGCCUGGGUAAUCUUUUGAACGUGCAUCGUGAUAGGGAUAGAUUAUUGCAAUUAUUAAUCUUGAACGAGGAAUUCCUAGUAAACGCGAGUCAUCAGCUCGCAUUGAUUACGUCCCUGCCCUUUGUACACACCGCCCGUCGCACCUACCGAUUGAAUGCUCAGGUGAGCCAUUCGGACUUUCAUCAUGCUGGUUUCCAGUUUUGAUGAAGGAAAGUCUUGCGAACCUUAUCAUUUAGAGGAAGGAGAAGUCGUAACA